UACGUAGGGGGCAAGCGUUGUCCGGAUUUAUUGGGCGUAAAGGGUACGCAGGCGGCCUUUUAAGUCAGAUGCGAAAUCUUACGGCUCAACCGUAAUUAGCAUUUGAAACUGAAAGGCUUGAGUUAAGGAGAGGAAAGUGGAAUUCCUAGUGUAGCGGUGAAAUGCGUAGAUAUUAGGAGGAAUACCAGUGGCGAAGGCGACUUUCUGGACUUAUACUGACGCUGAGGUACGAAAGCGUGGGGAGCGAACAGG
rnacentral:rRNA from 1 species